rnacentral:rRNA from 1 species
AGCGAACGCUGGCGGCAGGCCUAACACAUGCAAGUCGAACGAAGUCUUCGGACUUAGUGGCGGACGGGUGAGUAACACGUGGGAACGUGCCUUUAGGUUCGGAAUAACUCAGGGAAACUUGUGCUAAUACCGAAUGUGCCCUUCGGGGGAAAGAUUUAUCGCCUUUAGAGCGGCCCGCGUCUGAUUAGCUAGUUGGUGAGGUAAAGGCUCACCAAGGCUACGAUCAGUAGCUGGUCUGAGAGGAUGACCAGCCACAUUGGGACUGAGACACGGCCCAAACUCCUACGGGAGGCAGCAGUGGGGAAUCUUGCGCAAUGGGCGAAAGCCUGACGCAGUCAUGCCGCGUGGAUGAUGAAGGUCUUAGGAUUGUAAAAUCCUUUCACCGGUGAAGAUAAUGACUGUAGCCGGAGAAGAAGCCCCGGCUAACUUCGUGCCAGCCGCCGCAGUGAGAC